GGGGAAAGUAGGACAGAAGUGAAUUGAAAUGAUGUGCCUGAAGAGACACAGCUGGAAAUGGCUGGAGCUGAGCACUGGACUGGGCAUGCUGGGUCCAGAGUCCACUUGUGGAUCUCUCCAGCAUCUGUCACAAAACUAUGGAGUUGGGAGAUGUAUGUGACAGCAGACGACUCAAGGACAUAUACCCAGAGAAGGCACAUGAACACCAGUAUCUGGCUUCCUGCUGCCAUACUUUCUUCCUAUCCUUACCCUCCUCAAUGCACCAGACCAUUUGAUGAGACAGAAAGGGCUCUCCCCGCCCCCUACUGGGUAACAUCCUCUCGCUUGGUCUUCAGGGCUGAGCUGUCUUCAUAGUCAUGGCCUUAUAGCCUGCCUCUGGAUUUCAUACAGCAGAGAAAGAGAAAAGUGUCUCUUAGUAACCGCCAUCAUUUGAGGAUUUCCUGCUGUGAAAAGAUGCUAAUCCUAUUUUAUAACCUGAGGUGAGGUCCAACCUCUCUCUGGCUCUUUUCCUACUCAGAGAUCCAGGGAGGUCAGCCAACAGAGACCGUGGCAGUAUGGAGUUCACAGGCGCCAAUCUGGAGCAUAGAUGCUUUCUUUAGCUUCUGCAAAGUUUAACUAAUUAGAAAACACUCAAAGGUUCUAAUUCUUAGUGAGCUGUUUGCUGCUGUUACUUUGUUGUUGUUGGUUUGCUAGUUUGAAGCAAGGUCUCAAGUACCCAGGCUGGCUUCAGGCUUACUAUGUAACUAGUGCUGACCCUCAAUUCCUGAUUUUCCUGCCUCCAUUGUCUGAGUGCUGGUGUUACAACAUGCAUCACCACACCUGGCUGAUCCAGAACUGGAGACCGAACCCAGGGCCUUGUGCAUGCCACAUGAGCAUUAUACCAAUCGAGCUACAUCCCCAGCCCUGGCUGAAACUUUGAAGUCCAGAAUUCUGGACCCUCUAAUGGCUGGAGGCUACUGGGCUAAUAUUUCAGCACAGCAUUAUUUUGCUUGUUUUUGUUUAUUCACGACAGGGUAGCUCAGGCUGGCCUCAAACUCACUAUUGAGCUGAAAACCACCCUGAACUUCUGGUCCCCUGCCUCAACCUCUGGAAUGCUGGGAUUACAAGCACGCACCACCACGAGCAUUUAGAUGAGGCAUCUGCUGCCUCCUUGCGAUGCCUCCUUAUCAAAUAAGGACACUCUCCUUUGCCCAAGAAUGGGAUUUGCCUAUGGCUCAGACUAUGAGCAGAUAGGUUUACACGUCAGCCCUGAACUAGGCAUGGCUCUGGUGUAUCCAGUGGGUUAGUGACUCUGUCAUCUCCAUUACACUGAAGAGGACACAGGGGCUCCGGGCUUGCCUGAGGCUGCAGGCCG
rnacentral:lncRNA from 1 species